AUUGAACGCUGGCGGCAGGCUUAACACAUGCAAGUCGAGCGGGGUGAUGGUGCUUGCACUAUCACUUAGCGGCGGACGGGUGAGUAAUGCUUAGGAAUCUGCCUAUUAGCGGGGGACAACAUCUCGAAAGGGAUGCUAAUACCGCAUACGUCCUACGGGAGAAAGCAGGGGAUCACUUGUGACCUUGCGCUAAUAGAUGAGCCUAAGUCGGAUUAGCUAGUUGGUGGGGUAAAGGCCUACCAAGGCGACGAUCUGUAGCGGGUCUGAGAGGAUGAUCCGCCACACUGGGGAUGAGACACGGCCCAGACUCCUACGGGAGGCAGCAGUGGGGAAUAUUGGAGAAUGGGGGGAACCCUGAUCCAGCCAUGCCGCGUGUGUGAAGAAGGCCUUAUGGUUGUAAAGCACUUUAAGCGAGGAGGAGGCUCUUUUGGUUAAUACCCAAGAUGAGUGGACGUUACUCGCAGAAUAAGCACCGGCUAACUCUGUGCCAGCCGCCGCAGUAA
rnacentral:rRNA from 1 species